AUUGAACGCUGGCGGCAUGCUUUACACAUGCGAGUCGAACGGUAACAGGCCGCAAGGUGCUGACGAGUGGCGAACGGGUGAGUAAUGCAUCGGAACGUGCCCAGUCGUGGGGGAUAACUACUCGAAAGAGUAGCUAAUACCGCAUACGAUCUAUGGAUGAAAGCGGGGGACCGUAGGGCCUCGCGCGAUUGGAGCGGCCGAUGUCAGAUUAGGUAGUUGGUGGGGUAAAGGCUCACCAAGCCAACGAUCUGUAGCUGGUCUGAGAGGACGACCAGCCACACUGGGACUGAGACACGGCCCAGACUCCUACGGGAGGCAGCAGUGGGGAAUUUUGGACAAUGGGCGCAAGCCUGAUCCAGCAAUGCCGCGUGCAGGAAGAAGGCCUUCGGGUUGUAAACUGCUUUUGUACGGAACGAAACGGCUCUGGUUAAUACCCGGGGCUAAUGACGGUACCGUAAGAAUAAGCACCGGCUAACUACGUG
rnacentral:rRNA from 1 species